GGGUUGUGAGGUUAAGCGACUAAGCGUACACGGUGGAUGCCCUGGCAGUCAGAGGCGAUGAAGGACGUGCUAAUCUGCGAAAAGCGUCGGUAAGGUGAUAUGAACCGUUAUANNNNNNNNNNNNNNNNNNNNNNNNNNNNNNNNNNNNNNNNNCACUAUCGUUAACUGAAUACAUAGGUUAACGAGGCGAACCGGGGGAACUGAAACAUCUAAGUACCCCGAGGAAAAGAAAUCAACCGAGAUUCCCCCAGUAGCGGCGAGCGAACGGGGAGCAGCCCAGAGUCUGAAUCAGCUUGUGUGUUAGUGGAACGGUCUGGAAAGUCCGACGGUACAGGGUGAUAGUCCCGUACACCAAAAUGCACAGGCUGUGAACUCGAAGAGUAGGGCGGGACACGUGGUAUCCUGUCUGAAUAUGGGGGGACCAUCCUCCAAGGCUAAAUACUCCUGACUGACCGAUAGUGAACCAGUACCGUGAGGGAAAGGCGAAAAGAACCCCGGCGAGGGGAGUGAAAAAGAACCUGAAACCGUGUACGUACAAGCAGUGGGAGCACCUUCGGGUGUGACUGCGUACCUUUUGUAUAAUGGGUCAGCGACUUAUAUUCUGUAGCAAGGUUAACCGUAUAGGGGAGCCGCAGGGAAACCGAGUCUUAACUGGGCGUUAAGUUGCAGGGUAUAGACCCGAAACCCGGUGAUCUAGCCAUGGGCAGGUUGAAGGUUGGGUAACACUAACUGGAGGACCGAACCGACUAAUGUUGAAAAAUUAGCGGAUGACUUGUGGCUGGGGGUGAAAGGCCAAUCAAACCGGGAGAUAGCUGGUUCUCCCCGAAAGCUAUUUAGGUAGCGCCUCGUGAAUUCAUCUUCGGGGGUAGAGCACUGUUUCGGCUAGGGGGUCAUCCCGACUUACCAACCCGAUGCAAACUACGAAUACCGAAGAAUGUUAUCACGGGAGACACACGGCGGGUGCUAACGUCCGUCGUGAAGAGGGAAACAACCCAGACCGCCAGCUAAGGUCCCAAAGUCAUGGUUAAGUGGGAAACGAUGUGGGAAGGCACAGACAGCCAGGAUGUUGGCUUAGAAGCAGCCAUCAUUUAAAGAAAGCGUAAUAGCUCACUGGUCGAGUCGGCCUGCGCGGAAGAUGUAACGGGGCUAAACCAUGCACCGAAGCUGCGGCAGCGACACGAUGUGUUGUUGGGUAGGGGAGCGUUCUGUAAGCCUGCGAAGGUGUGCUGUGAGGCAUGCUGGAGGUAUCAGAAGUGCGAAUGCUGACAUAAGUAACGAUAAAGCGGGUGAAAAGCCCGCUCGCCGGAAGACCAAGGGUUCCUGUCCAACGUUAAUCGGGGCAGGGUGAGUCGACCCCUAAGGCGAGGCCGAAAGGCGUAGUCGAUGGGAAACAGGUUAAUAUUCCUGUACUUGGUGUUACUGCGAAGGGGGGACGGAGAAGGCUAUGUUAGCCGGGCGACGGUUGUCCCGGUUUAAGCAUGUAGGCUGAUUGUCCAGGCAAAUCCGGAUAAUCAAGGCUGAGGUGUGAUGACGAGGCACUACGGUGCUGAAGUAACAAAUGCCCUGCUUCCAGGAAAAGCCUCUAAGCAUCAGGUAACAUUAAAUCGUACCCCAAACCGACACAGGUGGUCAGGUAGAGAAUACCAAGGCGCUUGAGAGAACUCGGGUGAAGGAACUAGGCAAAAUGGUGCCGUAACUUCGGGAGAAGGCACGCUGGUGUGUAGGUGAAGCCCCUGCGGGUGGAGCUGAGACCAGUCGAAGAUACCAGCUGGCUGCAACUGUUUAUUAAAAACACAGCACUGUGCAAACACGAAAGUGGACGUAUACGGUGUGACGCCUGCCCGGUGCCGGAAGGUUAAUUGAUGGGGUUAUCCGUAAGGAGAAGCUCUUGAUCGAAGCCCCGGUAAACGGCGGCCGUAACUAUAACGGUCCUAAGGUAGCGAAAUUCCUUGUCGGGUAAGUUCCGACCUGCACGAAUGGCGUAAUGAUGGCCAGGCUGUCUCCACCCGAGACUCAGUGAAAUUGAACUCGCUGUGAAGAUGCAGUGUACCCGCGGCAAGACGGAAAGACCCCGUGAACCUUUACUAUAGCUUGACACUGAACAUUGAGCCUUGAUGUGUAGGAUAGGUGGGAGGCUUUGAAGCGUGGACGCCAGUCUGCGUGGAGCCAACCUUGAAAUACCACCCUUUAAUGUUUGAUGUUCUAACGUUGGCCCCUGACCGGGGUUGCGGACAGUGUCUGGUGGGUAGUUUGACUGGGGCGGUCUCCUCCCAAAGCGUAACGGAGGAGCACGAAGGUUAGCUAAUCCUGGUCGGACAUCAGGAGGUUAGUGCAAUGGCAUAAGCUAGCUUGACUGCGAGCGUGACGGCGCGAGCAGGUGCGAAAGCAGGUCAUAGUGAUCCGGUGGUUCUGAAUGGAAGGGCCAUCGCUCAACGGAUAAAAGGUACUCCGGGGAUAACAGGCUGAUACCGCCCAAGAGUUCAUAUCGACGGCGGUGUUUGGCACCUCGAUGUCGGCUCAUCACAUCCUGGGGCUGAAGUAGGUCCCAAGGGUAUGGCUGUUCGCCAUUUAAAGUGGUACGCGAGCUGGGUUUAGAACGUCGUGAGACAGUUCGGUCCCUAUCUGCCGUGGGCGCUGGAGAAUUGAGGGGGGCUGCUCCUAGUACGAGAGGACCGGAGUGGACGCAUCACUGGUGUUCGGGUUGUCAUGCCAAUGGCACUGCCCGGUAGCUAAAUGCGGAAGAGAUAAGUGCUGAAAGCAUCUAAGCACGAAACUUGCCCCGAGAUGAGUUCUCCCUGAGACUUUAAGUCUCCUGAAGGAACGUUAAAGACGAUGACGUUGAUAGGCCGGGUGUGUAAGCGCAGCGAUGCGUUGAGCUAACCGGUACUAAUGAACCGUGAGGCUUAACCUUACAACGCCGAAG
rnacentral:rRNA from 1 species